rnacentral:rRNA from 1 species
GAUGAACGCUGGCGGCGUGCCUAAUACAUGCAAGUCGAGCGAACAGAUAAGGAGCUUGCUCCUUUGACGUUAGCGGCGGACGGGUGAGUAACACGUGGGUAACCUACCUAUAAGACUGGGAUAACUUCGGGAAACCGGAGCUAAUACCGGAUAAUAUUUCGAACCGCAUGGUUCGAUAGUGAAAGAUGGUUUUGCUAUCACUUAUAGAUGGACCCGCGCCGUAUUAGCUAGUUGGUAAGGUAACGGCUUACCAAGGCGACGAUACGUAGCCGACCUGAGAGGGUGAUCGGCCACACUGGAACUGAGACACGGUCCAGACUCCUACGGGAGGCAGCAGUAGGGAAUCUUCCGCAAUGGGCGAAAGCCUGACGGAGCAACGCCGCGUGAGUGAUGAAGGUCUUCGGAUCGUAAAACUCUGUUAUUAGGGAAGAACAGACGUGUAAGUAACUGUGCACGUCUUGACGGUACCUAAUCAGAAAGCCACGGCUAACUACGUG